AAAUAAAUAUUUCGCAGAGCCAUCAAAGCCAAAUAAACAAACUGUAAUUCUUGAACACCACAUCGGGUGUAGAGACUGCAAAAAGAUUGCUUUGGUUAAGAUACAAGACACAGUCACUCCCAAGAAAUUAAUAUCAGUUAAAGUAAGAAUUCUCGUGGAGUUGCUGCUACAGUUCUGUUAUUGACACAAAAAUGGUUCACCCACAUUGGCAAAUUUGGAUAACUUACAUAAGGAAAACAUAAGCUAAACUAAAAUGUUUUGGUUGGUAGAAAAUAGAAUGUUUGGAGGUGGUGUUUUGUUUUGUUUUGUUUUGUUUUUGUUUUGUUUUGUGGGAGUUUCACUUUAAAGGGACCUAGAAGAUUUUAUCUCCAUUUAGAAAAUAAUGCAUGGUAGGCCUGAAGCAGUAAUUUAUGCUGUGACAUAAUAUGUUUUUGACGCAGAAAAUACUUGUCAAAAUGCUAGAUACAAAGGCAGCUAUUUUGAGUGUUUUAAGGAGAAUGGGGAAUACCUGGCUCUUGUCAGUCAAUAACGUAUCUGGCAUAAAUAAUGAUUGAAAACUGACAGCUACACGAUGCGAUUUAGAAGCCUCAAGCUCCAACAAAUAAAAAGGUUGAAAUCUGUGGCAGAAUCAGUAUGGAUGGUUUCCUGUAUCCACAUAAUUGACCCCUGACCUCAAAGCAUCUCCAGAGCCAACAUUUUAAGAGGAUCAAGUACUGUAAGCCUGUGACUUCAUGCCAAGGAAAAUACAGACAGAGUCAUCCAUUAAAUACCAAAAACAAUGCCAAAUAGUUGCUUCUGGUGGCAAACCUUGGGAACUGGGAAGAUACCAUACUUUUCUAAGGAUCCAUUUUCUAAAGAUAGCACACAUACUGUGUCCACAGAAUAAUCUUCCCCACCUCAUUGCACUAAGAAGAAUGCAGGCAAUUCUCUCACAGCUAAUUCCAUGCAAAAAUCAACAUUUUGAGGUUACCAAAAUCCAGUCAGUUGGUGACAUGGAGUAAACUACUACAGAGAUGAGAUGAGCUAUGCGUGGAUUAUCUUGUGUCUCAGAGGAGAUUUUGAACUUGGACUUUUGAAUAAUGCUGGAACUGUCAAGGCUAGAAAGAUGUGAGCCCUCGAGGGACAGAAGUGAUGUAUGUUGGGUUGAAUGUGAAGAGUUCCCCCCCACCAAAAGUGCAUAGAAUUAAAUUAUUCCAUCAAUGAACUCAUACUGAAUGGACUCUAAUGAGACACGUGUCUCACAGACACAUAAAAUAAAUGGAACUGAAGAUUCAAGUGGGUGUGAAUGUCGCAGACCUCAGAGAACCAGCAAUGGCCCCUUCUUACGAGAAGUCCCCAA